UGGGGAAUAUUGGACAAUGGGCGAAAGCCUGAUCCAGCCAUGCCGCGUGUGUGAAGAAGGUCUUCGGAUUGUAAAGCACUUUAAGUUGGGAGGAAGGGCAGUAAGCGAAUACCUUGCUGUUUUGACGUUACCGACAGAAUAAGCACCGGCUAACUCUGUGCCAGCAGCCGCGGUAAUACAGAGGGUGCAAGCGGUAAUCGGAAUUACUGGGCGUAAAGCGCGCGUUGGUGGUUCGUUAAGUUGAAUGUGAAAGCCCCGGGCUCAACCUGGGAACUGCAUCCAAAACUGGCGAGCUAGAGUAGGGCAGAGGGUUGUGGAAUUUCCUGUGUAGCGGUGAAAUGCGUAGAUAUAGGAAGGAACACCAGUGGCGAAGGCGACCACCUGGGCUCAUACUGACACUGAGGUGCGAAAGCGUGGGGAGCAAACAGG
rnacentral:rRNA from 1 species